rnacentral:misc_RNA from 1 species
UCCGAGUUGACCCCGGCAGUCUCCUACGAGUCCGCGACCGGGAUGUCAAGGGCUGGUAAGGUUCUGCGCGUUGCGUCGAAUUAAACCACAUGCUCCACCGCUUGUGCGGGCCCCCGUCAAUUCCUUUGAGUUUUAAUCUUGCGACCGUACUCCCCAGGCGGAAUGCUUAAAGCGUUAGCUGCGCCACUAGUGAGUAAACCCACUAACGGCUGGCAUUCAUCGUUUACGGCGUGGACUAC